rnacentral:rRNA from 1 species
AUUGAACGCUAGCGGGAUGCUUAACACAUGCAAGUCGAACGAGUGGCGGACGGGUGAGUAAUGUCUGGGAAACUGCCUGAUGGAGGGGGAUAACUACUGGAAACGGUAGCUAAUACCGCAUACCAUCAGAUGUACCCAGAUGGGAUUAGCUAGUAGGUGGGGUAACGGCUCACCUAGGCGACGAUCCCUAGCUGGUUUGAGAGGAUGACCAGCCACACUGGGACUGAGACACGGCCCAGACUCCUACGGGAGGCAGCAGUGGGGAAUUUUGGACAAUGGGGGAAAGCCUGAUCCAGCCAUGCCGCGUGUAUGAUGAAGGCCUUCGGGUUGUAAAGUACUUUUGGCAGAGAAGCGGUAUCUGCAGAAUAAGCACCGGCUAACUACGUGCCAGCAGCCGCGGUAAUAC